rnacentral:lncRNA from 1 species
UUGUGUGCUAUUUUCUAUCUUGAAUGAUGACAUAAAGUGGGAGAAAGCCAAGACUAUGUUGUAUAUGAACUAAAAUCUAAAAUGUAAGAAGAUUAAUUUAGUUGAAAGCUUAUGGGAGGAAACUAUUAUAUGUGUGUAAGAAGAUUAAUUUAGUUGAAAGUUUAUGAGAAGAAACUAUUAUAUGUGUGAUUCCUAUGCAACUUUGAAGUCAUCUCAAUCUGAUAGUUGUAUAUUACCUUGACAUUUGUAACUAAUAUAAGCAUUGCUC